rnacentral:rRNA from 1 species
UAACGCGGGGCAACCUGGCGACGAGUGGCGAACGGGUGAGUAAUACAUCGGAACGUGUCCUGAGGUGGGGGAUAACCUAUCGAAAGGUAGGCUAAUACCGCAUACGCUCGGGAGAGGAAAGCGGGGGAUCGGUAACGACCUCGCGCUGCAGGAGCGGCCGAUGUCCGAUUAGCUAGUUGGUGGGGUAAAGGCUUACCAAGGCGACGAUCGGUAGCUGGUCUGAGAGGAUGAUCAGCCACACUGGGACUGAGACACGGCCCAGACUCCUACGGGAGGCAGCAGUGGGGAAUUUUGGACAAUGGGGGCAACCCUGAUCCAGCCAUGCCGCGUGAGUGAAGAAGGCCUUCGGGUUGUAAAGCUCUUUCGGUGGGAACGAAACGGUUACCACUAAUACUGGUGACUACUGACGGUACUCACAGAAGAAGCACCGGCUAACUACGUGCCAGCAGCCGCGGUAAU